UCGCGCAACUUUCUCUUAGAGCAGUACGCUGGACACGAGAGGAGCCAAGAGUCUAUAGAAGGCGCAUUCGAGAAGCUUCUCAUGUCUAGUUUUGUUAAAAGGAAGAAGACUAAGAUCAACCUCAAGACGAGGUUGAAGAAGAAAGUUGAGGAGUCUCCUCCGUGGCUUAAAGCUCUUCUUGAUUUCGUUGAGAUGCCUCCGAUGGAUACUGUUUUCAGAAGACUGUUCCUUUUCUCUUUCAUGGGUGGUUGGAGCAUCAUGAACUCUGCAGAAGGCGGUCCUGCGUUUCAGGUUUUAGGCUUUGCUUCUUAGUCUAUGCUAGAAGUAUUAGUAUAAGAUCAACCUGUAGACUGUAGUAGAUAGAUAAAGUGGCUUCUGAUUCUCUUAACAGAUGGUUUUGAGGUUAAGAUAUUUGAUUUUUGUAAUUGUAAUUGUAGGUGGCGGUGUCGUUGGCUGCUUGCGUAUAUUUCCUUAAUGAGAAGACGAAGAGCUUGGGGAGAGCUUGUUUAAUCGGGUAACCUCCUGGUGCUAAUUGAAAACUAGCUGAAACAAAAACUUGGAUUGUUUUUUUUUUUUUCCCUUUCAUUGAUUGGGGUUUGGUUGUUAUGGUUGCAGGUUUGGUGCAUUAACAGUCGGGUGGUUCUGCGGUUCGCUAGUCAUUCCCAUGAUUCCGACGGCUUUCAUUAACCCGACGUGGACCCUGGAGCUUCUAACGUCACUGGUUGCUUACGUGUUUUUGUUUCUUUCUUGUACUUUCCUCAAGUAGGUUGCACUUUUAUCCAGACAUUGUGUUUCUUUCUUGUACCUGUUAUACAUGAGUUCCACAACAUUGGUUAGCUCUUGUUAAAGUAUGGAAUCAAGUUGAUGAGGGUCUUUACCCCAAGUUGAUAAAUAUCAAAAUCAAAUUCCGUAGGAACAUAUCUUAAUAUGUUAGGUUUUAGAUCAUCGUACUAUUUAUUUCCAUCAGUGCAUGCACACAUUGAUAUAACCAACCGAAUAUUCAUGUUCAAGAUAUAUCAAACAUCAUGCAAGUAUUUCAAAAAAGAAAAAUACAAAUGAAGAAGUUCUAUUCGAAGAACCGGCGCUUCCAUUGAACACGAUUGUUGCGUCUCACGCAGCAGCCACAUGAGUAAAGUAAGACGACAAGAAGGGUAACAAGGAGAUUGAAGACGAGAAGAAUCCUCCAUCUUUUUCUUAUACCCUUGAAAACUCCAAUCUUGCAUGACUCGCACGCAUAACACAAAUGACUCUGCUUGUUACUCCACGUUUUGCAGUCCCCUGCGAUCUCUGCCGUUGACUUCGCCGGAACUGUCCACCAUGUGGCGUUUUUUGACUCGAAGCCACAUUCUUAUGCAUGAACCUUAUUUUACUACUAUAGGACAACUGAUAUUUGUAAAAAAUAAUAAAAAUAUAAAUUAAAAUUAUAAUACCGAAAUCUAUAAAAAUAAAUGGGACUUUUUUCCCUCCUUAUGCUGCCACAUAAGAUUUAGAGAAGGGGCAUAUCAUGCCAUGUGUCCUCUCCCAUAAAAGCUCUUCAAUUCCGUUCAACUCACACAUCGUUUGGGUCACUCAAACCUACGAAUUAAUGAUAACUCAAUCCACAUAUUUUAUGCCAUUAAAACAAAUGUCACUAAAACAAACUCAUAUUAUUAUCUUAACAGCCCAGUUAAAGCCCACUUAUACCUCGAAAGUAUUGUCUUUUCCGUUACCUUAUUUUGCAGCGGCGAUAGAAAUUUUUCUGUGCAACAUUACUACUACUCAUUCAAUCAUAUCAUUAAGCUUCUACAUUCUUCAGCCCACCUCUCCCACUACGUAAAAUUAAAUAACCCUUUUCCACCAGCGAUUUGAUAAUCCCUAAUUCCUAAUACUAUAAAUAAGACAUUUUAUGACUUUAUGCAAAUGUAAAUUAACAUCAUCUCUUGAAAUCUAGGAAUAGUAGAAGAAAAUUUAAGUGGUGUUGGUACAUUUUAUCCCAAAAAUGUAAUUUUAGUAGGUGUUAAACUUAAAUAUCAUAUAAAAUUAAGGAUUUUUCCCCGUACUACGUACCAGAACACUAGUAAAAAAUAAAAGAGUUGGUAUGGAAUCAAAAUGGUGCGCACCGUUUUGAUUAAUGAGGACAAGUGUCGGCUACAAAAAACUCGAAUUUGUGCGCUGACAGCUGAGGUGGAUUCCCUAGGAAGGAUUCAAAUCUUUUUUUAUAUAUAAAGAUUUUUUAUUGUUAAGUCAUUGAGUCAAAAGAAAUUAAAUUUUCUUAAUGACAACAUUGAUUUUUUGACUUGAAUGAGUCCAUUACUCUCUUUUACGUUAUGGUUUUUGAAAAGCAUAAUGUGAUGUUUGUAUUUUCAAUCUAAAUCUUAUGUGGCAGCAUAAGGAGGGAAAAAAAUCCCAUUUAUUAUUAUAGAUGUUUUGGUAGAUUUGGGCUUCAGGGCCGUCCCUUGCUUCCUGCGGAAAACAUCGAAAGGCGUCACCCCGCUAAAGGCGUCCGAUGGAGAGUAGAAUCACCGUGCCUCUUCAGAUCCACCAUCAUCACUAACCUCCGCCAUUUAUUACCUUUUCAAAGCAUAAACCGACAACAUCACCUAUCACUCUUCGGCUCUCCUCGCCAAUUAUAUAUUGAUCACUCUAUAGAUCUUUCACCGAAAAGUUUCCAGCGACACAGCUAGCAAGCUCUGAGUUUGAUAAAACCGUUGGCGCCAAACUCUUCGAGCAUCAUACUCACCUCUUCCUGACUCGGCGACGCUAGAUCUCUUAUGGAAACAAAGUUGUUGUCGUCUCGAUCGAUUAACUUGGAACGCUUGAAUCAAAUGGAGUAAUAAUCGCACAAGUUCUUGGGAAGAACACUGAUUGGAGUGGCGGCUUGACUGCCUUGAGGUUACCAUACGAUCUGUCGGGGAAAUAGGAAGAAGCACCGAAGCUGAAACAAGAAGGUGCAGAUAUGGAGACAAAAGCUUUGGUUUUGGAGGAACGUGUUUUUCAUAAAAUGGUAUUUCUAUUACCCAUCAAGCUUUUGAAUGUAGAUUUUUACAUGGAACAGUAAUGGUGUCCCCUUAGAUUCGUAAGGUCUCGAAAUCUUGGUUAUGUCAACAAUCAAAGAAGGGAAUAAGGUAUUACACAUUUACACGUCAACCAUUAGGUUCCUGUCUUGCGCCUUUUGUAUUUGAUUUACUUACAUACACUCUCUUUUCGAUUUUAGAUUGGGCACAAACACAUUGGUUGUGCUUCGGUAUACAGUCACGAGAAAGAGGUAAACAUUUCUAAUAUCAAAGAAUUUGAGAGAGACCAAUAGGCUAUUAAGUAUGUGUGGUUGAAGUUUCAUGCCUCUGUAUGUCACGUUCUCCUCACACUAUGAAUCCAUUAACUUGAUAGGCAGCGUAUUGAAGAAGUUAAUAGAUGAUGGUUUCGUGAAGCCUGAAGCGUGAGGAGUUAUUCAUCACUUGGAAACUCUGGUUUGUCUUCUUUCUACGACCAAAAUUUUUCUUCAGUGCAUGUUUAUAUUAAGUUUGUAGUUCCCAUCACCCAUCACCCUUUCUAUUUAUAUUACAGUAGCAACAAGUGUUUUAUGAAUAAUUUCACGGGAAACAUCAAGUGAGAUCGAGAUCGUGGGAGUCAACAACCCUACUAUGUCAAAGAGUGAGCAUCUAAGAAAUGUUUUGCCUAGACUAUGUAUUAUGUAAUUAGGUUGCAUCAGUACUCAUUGUUGUAUCAAUUAGUUAAGUUUACGGUUUAUCAUGUGUGUAUGAGAAAAUACACAUAACUAGCCUAUCAAUCAUUACAUCACUAUGAAUUCUCAUAUAUAUAAUUGGGGUCUGUUAUUAAUCUUCAGAUCUGUUGGCACUGGUGAUAUUUUUUUUAAGUAAGGAUGAGGUAGAUCUACAUGGUAUGAGUUAAAUAUUCGAUUAUGAUAAUGUGAAAAUAGUUUUGGGAAGUAGAUGGUGUGAUUUUCAGUUGAGAAAAGCAAGAAUUUGUAACCAUGGCAAAUUAAAUGAAAGGAAUACUGACGAUCGAUGGUAUGAGGUAAAGCAAAUGAAAUCAUUUUUAUAUUGGUUUAUGAGAUGAAGUAUUAACUCUCAUGUAUCAGUGUGUUUUAGGAAGUGGAGCGAAUAAAUAUUCGAAAAGGGAAGGCGAGGAUGAGAACCUUAAUUAAAAGAGAAUAUGUAAACUUUAUGUUGGCCACAAAUAAUAAAAAAAAUUCACUCCUUUAUGUUGUUUAAUUGCCGAUCUCCUCUUACUAAAACAUGUAUAUUUCAUAAACUGCACAUUUUUUUCUAACAUUUUAUAUGAAAUAUUUUCUUUAAAAUAUUUAAAAAUAAAAAAACAAAAUUUAUUAAGAAAUUAACUAAUACAUAUUUUGUAUAUAUAAAAUAGUGUUUGUUUUUCCAAAACAUGUUGAAACUUUGAAUUUCGGGCCCUGGGAAGGUCGCACUCCCCGUCUUCCUACCUAAGCCGCUCAGGCAAAAAAAAAUAGUCUUUAUAAAAAAAGUUUUAAAUAAAAGCUUGGUAAAAAUAAUAUGUCGAAUGUAAUUAUUUAACAUUUUAUGUGAGAUGUUUUCUUUAAAAUAUUUAAAAAUAUAAAACAAAAUUUAUUAAGAAAUUAACUAAUACCUAUUUUGUAUAUAUAAAAUAGUGUUUGUUUUUCCAAAACAUGUUGAAACUUUGAAUCUCGGGCCCUGGGAAGGUCGCACUCCCCGCCUUCCUACCUAAGCCGCUCAUAAUCGCAUCAUAAUACUACAAUAUUGUCAUGUCUACUCUAAUAUCAAAUACAUCAAAUGCAUUUGAAGUAAAAUAAACAAUUUGCAAAAUAAAUCAUACAUGUGAAUAGCAUAAAUGACAAACAACCCGCGCGAAGCGCGGACACACCACUAGUCUAUUAUAUAUUUGACCAAAUCAAACAUAAAUAAUAUUUCUUUUAAUUUUGGGUUUGCAUAUUAUGUUUAUACAAACAUAAAGAUAGUCAUGCAUAAAAGUUAUAUGAAUAAGUAAUGAACAUAAUGUCCAACUAACAAAUUCAAAUUCAAACCCAAAUAUCCAAUAUGAGACAUUUGCUAAUUUCUUAUAUUUAGCCAAACUCAUUUUUGGACUUCCAUUUCUCAUCCAAAACCAACUCCGAUUUUGACAUACGAGUACACUACUUCAUAGUGUCAAAUAUUCAGUUAUUCCGACGAACGUUUUCGUCCGAAAAUUGACCAAAAUGGUUUUAAACCAUUUCGUCAAAAACUAAAACCAUUUCGUCAAAAACGAGUACCAACACAUUCUACUGGUGGUCGACAACAUCCGAACUGAGUAGAAAAAUACAAACAUGAAGCCUCUCUUAUCUACCAUGAUAGAUGUUACACAAGUAUUUAUAUGAUAAGCAUAAACAUUUUAGUUUGGUUUAUUGGGUAUAUCAACACAAAAGAAAAACAUAUGAAAAAGAGAUCAGUUAUUGAGCGGAUCAUCCAUAAACGUUGGACAUGCCCUAAAUAAUUAUUCAAUUACAUAUUGUUAAAAUUCAAGAAUUCCAUUAACCGAGAGCUUGUGAAUUCGUAGAGUUAUAAAUAUCGGCAAAGGCAGGCAUUGACGAAUCAUCUUUUUAUUAAACGGGCUUUUAAAAAAGUUUACCCUAAACACUAAAUCCAAUUGCUUUAAUUGGUGACCAUUUAUCGAAUGUAAUGAAUGGAAAAAAUGUUGAAGAAAAAUAAUGAAUUGAAAAAAAAUAAAAAAAAAUAAUUGAAAAGAGAGGAACUAACGUUCCAUAUCAAAAUUAGAGGAGAAAAAUAGUUCUUCAUUAGUUCAAUUGUAUAUGAGGAAAAAUGAGGAAUGAAAUGGUGCCCACAUCUUACUAGUUUAACAAAAAAAAAUUCAACUUAACUGGUAUCAAUUCUAAGAAAUAACAAAUCUUUAUAUAUAAAAGAGACUUUCAAUCAUUCCUGGUGUUGGCAACAGGGACGACACAUCAGAAAUUCGAUGUUUCAGGAGUUGACACAUGUCCAACCGGUGAAACACACCGUUUCAUUUAACGAAAAGAAGAGAUUUUGUGGGCUUUUGGUAAUCCUAAGAAUUAAAGCCCAAAACAUGAGAGGCCCUUUAGUCUUCGUCUUCGUGUUCUUCUGAGACCUAAAAAAUUUCUCUUACGUUUUCUCAAACCAUCAAUGGCGUCUUGGGAGAUUGGAUGACUGAAAUCAAGAUUGAAAAUCUCUUUGUUUGUCUCCACUCAUGUCGUUUAGCCUUCUACUCUUCUACUCUUACAACCGAAACAGUCUGAGUUACAGAUUCAGCGCCAUUAUUCCCUUCUUAACUCCAUAUACCAACGGAAGCACGAUCUGACAUUGAUUGCGAGUUAUCCCUUUGCAAGGCGGCCUAUUCCACACCUAUAAAAAGGUUAGCUUUCUUCACUUGAACAUCAUUCUCUCAAUCCUUCAAAACACCAAAUUUAAUUUUCUGCGAAAUGUCGAACUCAUCGAUCCUCUUCUCUGAUUUGAAAUCCGGCCGCUGCUCCUCCACCGUUCAAGUGUGGUUUCGCAAGUUUUGGUUCCGUUUGAUUUUAUUGUUGUUAGGGAUUUUGUUGUUCGAUUUUACUCUUAGGGUUGAUGUAGUUCGGUUAUGUUCUUAUGGUUUGUAUUUGAUUUUGUUGUUGGUGUUUGUGUCGGGGUCGUUUAAUUUAGACUUAUAAGGUGGCUAAAUGCUAAGACUCCUACUUUUUUCCUAACUAGACAAUAUUCCAUGCUAAAGUUAUGUCGACGGUGAAUCUGUUUUUGUUUCAGAGGGUCAAUAACAACAUGGAUUCUUUUCUCAUUCUCUUAAAGGUACAACACUCGCCUGCUUCUUUUUUUUCAUGUAUUCAUUUUUUUGGCUUGGUACCAUGAACUUAGAUAGAGAGGUCUCUCUUCUCAGGAGAAGAAAGGAGUAUUGUGGACAGGUUUAAGGGGAUUAACAAAAAAAUUGGACUUGGAUUCUGCUCGCGUAUGUGGCUGUAUAAGAUCUUUGGAUCGUUUGGUUCGUUUUAUGAUUUGAGCGGUUGAUUUCCAGCUGUUUUAUGAUUGAUAUGUGCGUUUAUUGUCUUUUCUUCAGAUAGUGCUUUGAUCAUCUAUCCAAAUGAGUUAAGUAAAGCAGCCCAACUGGUAUUCAAAAAGUGACAUUCUUUUAAAUGAUACAGUUAUAGUUUGUCUCUCCAUCUGACUUUUUGUUCUCAUGUUACAGUCAUUGGCUAAAGCCAAGUCUUUCAAAGAGGUAAGCAAAAAAUGGUGUUAUGCAUUUGAGUUUGUUGAGCUUGGCCUUUCAAAGAGGUAACUCAAAUCACCAUGUAGCAAACAAUCGUUUAGUUAGCUACUACUGCUGCUAAGAUCUGAGAUAAACAAAUUAAACAUUUAUGCGAGGGUUAAUCCUCUGUAAUGAGAUCUUCUAACAAAUCUAGGUACUUAAUUAAGUUUCUUCUUACAGACAAAUGGAAACUACACAAGAGUAAGGACUUCGAUUCGGAGUUAACAUCUAUGCAUAACUAAAUACAGGUGGGAGCUGGAUAGAGUUUGGCAGAUUCAAUUUUUUCUUUUUUUUUUUUUUUUGACAGCAAGAACAUUUACAGACUCAUAUAGACUCCGUAAACCAUAGUGGCAACUCUGCAUCCAUGUGUAUGACGAACGACGGUUGUAUCCGAGCACUGCGUGCCAAACGAUCCGCCAUUUUAUUGUCCGUCCUCGAAACAUGAACAAUUUCUGAGUUGAUGAAGCUUCUUCUCAAAAGCUUGAUAUCCUCCAGGUAACUUCCAAAUGCUGGCCAUUCCUCUGGUUCUGAAACCAUCUUCACCAGUUGAGAACAAUCCGUUGCAAAUGUGACCUGAUAUUGUCUUAAGUUUUUCAUACAUUCCAUUGCCCAAGUCAAUGCCUCUAUCUCCGCAUGAAGAGGUGAUAAACUUGCCCUUACAUUCCUUGCCCCUAACAAACCCUCAAACCCUGGAAGGGUACUGAGCCAACCUUGUCCUGAAAAAACAUCUUUAUCUUUCCAAGACCCAUCCGUGAAACACCAUCUUCCUGUGGUCACUAAGGGCAAUCUAAGCUGUACUUCAGGUACGACCCUUGGAUUAUUGAUAUUUUGUGCCUCAGCCCAAAGUCUUGACUCCAAUUCUGCUAAGUUUAGCGUCUCUCUCGGUUCAAUAUCAAUAUUACUGAAAACUUUAUUAUUCCGGCCCUUCCAAAUAUACCAUAGUAUCCAUGCAAACUGAUGAUCCUCCAUUUUUGGGUUAACUCUCCAAAAUAAAUGAUCCAUAUUAGUAAAAAGAGAACCAGUUGGAAAAAAAUUUGGAUUUGAUGGAAUCUUAGAUAGUGCCCACACUUGCCGUGCCGGAGGACACUCAAAGAAGACAUGAUUUAUUGAUUCCUCUGCGUCUCCACACCGUGCACAAACUGUAUCUCCUUGUAUUCCUCUAGAUUUUAGAUUCUUUGUCACUGCUAUACAACCUGUCACCAACUGCCAUAGAAAAUGCCGUAGUUUUGGAGGACACUUCACUUUCCAACAAAAUGCCUUGAGUAUAUCCACAUUGGGACCAUAACAAUCUGGUGGUUUUUCCUUGUCAGGAUAGAUCCUUUCUACUUGAUACCCUGAUUGUACCGAAUAUUUCCCAUUAUUAGUGAAAUGCCAACCAUUCCUAUCUUCCAUCUGAUUUCUACUCAGAGGAAUACUUUCAAUCAACUUUGCAUCGUUAGGCUCCACCAAAGUCCUAAGUGCCUGUAAAUUCCAAGUGCGGGAAUCCUGAUGAAUAAGGGAAUCCACUGUAAGGUCCGAAUAACUGUGAUGAGAAUUUUUGUUAGCUGGUCUCGGGCGAGUGGAUGGGAUCCAAGGAUCAUUCCAUACUGAGAUAGAUGAUCCUGUACCCACCCUUUUAAUUAGUCCUUUACAAACCAGAGAUCUAGCAGAGGUGAUACUCCUCCAGCCAUACGACGGGGAAUAUGAGCGAAUCGGAUCCAGGGGUGAAGCAUUCCUGUAAUACCGUCCUUUGAAAACUCGAGAGAAAAUAGAAUUUGGCUUCUCGAUCAGCCUCCACAAUUGCUUUCCAAGCAUUGCCGUAUUAAAAUCAUUCAGAUCCUUGAACCCUAACCCACCAUUAUCCUUAUGUUCACACAAUUUAUCCCAUGAUUUCCAAUGCAUACCUCGUGUGCUUCCUCCUGGACUCCACCAAAACUGGGCUACCGCACUCGUUAGUUUCUUCACUGUAGCUUUCGGUAACCGAUACACGGACAUCACAUGGUUUGGUAGCGCAGUUAUCACAGACUUAAUAAUCACCUCUUUUCCCCCUUUAGUGAAAAAUCUAAAGGUCCAACCAUUCACCCUAUUAUUCAGACGAUCUUGUACAAAACCAAACACUUGAACCUUGGAUCCUCCUAAACUUUCCGGCAGACCUAAAUAAGAACCCAUUCCUCCUAAAUUCUGAAUUCCCAAUAUAUCUCGCAAUUCCUGACGGCUUGAUUCCUCAAUCUUAUGUCCAAAUUGAAUUGAGGAUUUUUGAAAAUUAAUUUGUUGUCCUGAUACAGCCUCAUAAUCCUUUAGUAUCCUAAGAAUAGUGUGGCACUCUUCUUUGUUUGCCUUGCAAAAGAACAAACUAUCAUCUGCAAAUAGCAAGUGAGAGAUAGCUGGACACGCUCUGGCUACCUUCAUACCGGUCAAUUGUUUCAUCCGCUCUGCUUUUUUUAUAUUCAUAAUUAGAGCCUCUGUACACAUAAUAAAUAAAUAAGGAGAUAAUGGAUCCCCCUGCCGUAGUCCCCGCUGAGGUAUAAUGAGACCUCGUGGCUGCCCAUUGAGUAAAACUCUAUAUUGAACUGAAGAUAUACACUCUCGCAUUAAUUUAACCCAAUGCGGAUCAAAUCCCAUUUUAUUAAGUAAGGCCUCUAUAAAAUUCCACUCUAUCCGAUCAUAUGCCUUACUCAUAUCCGUUUUAAUUGCCAUAAACUUAUUUUGACAAGAUUUGUUGGUUCGCAAACCAUGGAACAUUUCCUGCGCAAUGAGAAUAUUAUCCGAUAUUAACCUUCCUGCCACAAAAGCCGAUUGCGUCUCCGAAAUUAGAUGGGGAAGACAAAUUUUCAAUCUUUGACAUAAAACUUUCGAAAUGAUCUUGUAACCAACGUUACAUAGGCUUAUCGGUCUUAGUUCCGUCAUCCUUGUAGGUCUCUCUAUUUUUGGGAUCAUGCAAAUGUUUGUUAUGUUUAACCGUGAAUCCAUAUCUCCUGUGACCAAAAAAUUAUUGACCAACUCAACCACAUCCUUCUUAACGACAUUCCAGGAGUGUUGGAAAAAGAGGGCCGUCAUUCCAUCUGGGCCAGGCGCUUUCUCCGGAUGCAUCAUAAAUAGUGCUUGUCGAACUUCUUCCUCCGUAGCUCUUCGCAGUAACAAUUGAUUCAUCUGGGGGGAAAUUGAUGGACCUAUUUCCUCCAAAAAACUAUCAAACUCCCUUGGGUUAGUUGAACUAAACAAACCAGCAAAGUAAUCCACUGCCACUUUCUCAAUACCGUUCUCUUCUGUAAUCCAAUUACCCGCUUCAUCAUGGAGACCCACUAUUUUGUUUCGGAUCCGACGUUGCUUUGUCAAAGCAUGAUAAAACUUAGUAUUUAGGUCCCCAGAUGAAUACCACAUAUUUCUACUCUUCUGGUGCCAAUAUUCCUCUUCAUCCUUAUAUGCCUCUUGUAAUUUCCUGGAAAUCUCAAUAAUUUCCUCUUGUGACCUAUUAUUAUCUGUUUGUACUUCUUCCAGCGCGUUUUGGAGAUUAUGAAUUUUGUCCUUCCCAUAUGGUUGAUUAUUUUUCCGCCAUGAUGAAAUUUCAUGACGACAAUUAUUAAUCUUUGUCAUAAAAUCUUCAGAAAGGCUUUCCUGAUUUUCUGUCCACCCCGAUACAAUUGAUUCCAUGAGUCCUUCUUGGCCAAUCCAUCGCUUAUCAAACCUGAAUUGUCCUCUUUUCCGUCCUGUAACCUUAUCGUCCAAAAAAGCUACCACAGGUCUAUGAUCCGAUCCCACCAGUCUCAGAUAUUCUGUAUAAGAAUAUGGGAAAAGUGUAUGCCAUUCCUCAUUAGCCAAGGCUCUAUCCAAUCGACAUCUAACCGUAAAUGCUCCUUUCCCUUUGCCUCUUCGUCCUUGCCAUGACAUCUUAUUACCCCGAGCCGGAAAUUCCAGUAAACCACUAUUCCUUAUCAUAUUAUUAAAAGGAAUAAAAGAAGCUGCAUUGCGUAGAGCCCCCCCAUCCUUUUCAUGAUUCCCAGUUAUCUCAUUUAGAUCCCCAAUAAUAAACCAAGGUUCAGAUCGUGCUAGCCCAUACCGAGUUAAUCUUUCCCAUACUUGUUCUCUAAGCGUUUGAACCGGAUCUCCAUAAACAAAAGUAAGGAAGACUUGUUUCCCAUUAGUCACUGCUUCUAUAUCAAUCAUUCUGUUACUAGAAUAUAAGAUCUUUACUUGGUACUCGUUGUUAUAGAAGAGAGCUAAACCACCACUCCUCCCAUUCGGAUCCACAGUGACCAGAUUAUCAUAUCCAAAGUGAGAUUGAAAUUUUUGAACAAAUUCAAACUCCUGUUUAGUCUCUGAGAGAAAUAAAAAAUCUGGUUUAUGUUUAUGACGUAUUUCCUUGAGAUAACUUAUGGUCCAAUGACUUCCAAGUCCUCUGCAAUUCCAACUUAGUAUUUUCAUAUAUAAAAGUGAUUGAAUUGCUCAUACGAGCUAGAGGAUUCAGGUACAAUGCCACCCAAAAACCAAACAAUUCCAGAUUUCCAUGAACACCAUAUCAAGGUGAUUAAUACACCUGUAACACCCCUAUAUAAAUCCAUCACACCUUUGGUUAAAGUCACACUCCGAGAACCAUUAUUAUAACCAUCUUGAACAACACAUAACGAGACGACCCAAGAGUACUUAAGAAAUAUCAUUUGUAUCAGCAUAGAUUUCCACAAAGACCACGACUGAGAAAUAUCCAUACAAUUGCCUUGAUCAAAAUAAACACUCCAUAUUUGCAUUAACUGUUGAGUCCACUCCAUACCGAACAUUUUCAACUUCACAAAAACAUCAGAAACAGGCCCUAUUAACAUCAUUUGAAAAACCUUGCACCCAUAAUCCACGCCCAUAACCGUUUUCUCAGUGUACUUCAAUAGUGUCUGUGUUUGACUUAAGGAGGCCAAACACAUGAGAAGUAGCAUAGUAAGACGUCUCAUGCCGUCACUACGUAACCGGAUUUGUAAAAACCCUCGACCUUUUAUAUCACUAAGCCUCCAGACCAAAGAAAACCACUUCCACAAGAUGGUUUGUAUUAGAAAAUAUAACCCAUUCCCAAAAUCAAACUCUAAUGCAUUAUACGAAAAAUAAUCCGUAGCAAACCAAUUUACAUAAACCAGACACCAUGUUCUCUCGGCCCCUCUUCCGCUCAGAUCAGUAACAGAAUUGUUUCCUUUCCUGAAACUCUUUCCAUUGACCAGAUAUACCAUGCAAACAUCAUAUGUACUCCUCAUUUGCUCUGAAAGAAUUGUAAUUACAACAGGAGAAUGAUAAACAUCAAGCUUUAUUGAUACCAUAUCGUCCACCUGUGCCACCAUGAAGAAGAGCUCCAUAACCGUUGUAAUAUCAAAGCUGGAUCUCUGCAACUGGGUUGAUGAAGCCAGGCACAGAAAUUGACUUGCUGCGAGUGAUCCAUGCGUUGCAACCAAGACAACCAGAAAAUUUAUAUCAAAACAAUGUGACCAAGUAACACCAAACCUCCCUCUUAGGUUCCAAAUAAAAACCAAACACCAAUGUGAAACUGCCCCAAUGAAGAUCCACCAAACAGUAUCAAUGCUUAUCAAAGGAAAUAACCUAUAAUAAUAAGCAUAGUAGCCAUUUUUAUUCCAAUACUUUAUCUUGCUUAAAGAGCUAACCAACAUUAUUAACCCAAAAAAAAAUAAAGAGAAUAUAAAGAAAAGAACAAAUAUGCUCAAAGAGCUUACUAAAACAUUAGAAACAAAGAAAUCCACGAUCACAAACUGCUCCCAUAACUUUUUCCCUUUCUUAAGCUGAUCCACAUUCUCAAUAGAGUUAUUCUUCUCUGCAACACCACUAGCUCCAUCCAGACUCUUGUCCUUUUCCUCCCCAUCCGUCAGGUUUUUAAAGUCAUUAUCAAUACCUUCAUUCUCCCCUGUCUUUUCCAUAUUAACAUGUUCCUCACUUACCUCCAUCACAUCCUCAUCUAAAACCUUAACGUCAACCUCUAAUGCUUUAUUUGCUAGUACUAAGCCAUUCUCCAUCUCUACAAAAUUCAUAAUUACCUCUGUAGGGUCUGUCUGAGCCAGGUUUGUUUCCAGCUGGGCCACUGAAGGGAUUGGCUUAGUUAUCUGAUCAUCCCCCUUUUGAACGCUUCGUAACACGUUCUCCUGAAUCUCUCCUUCUUCAUGUGGAUCCCCUUGUAUAUUGCCGAAAGGACUUAUUUUCGUUUUUGAGCCCCUGCAAGACCGACCCAGCUCCUCCUGUGAUGUGCCUCUUAAUGAUAGCCGAAGCCUAUCAAUCCCAAUCUUCCCCGUAUACCAAUAAAUCCUUCGUGAAUCCGAGAAAUCUCGUAGCGAUUUUGGUAAGACCCUUGUAACCAUAUACCCUUGUCGAUUCCAUGUCACUCUGAUCUUAUCAUCCUGACAAAGAUCUACUCGAACCUGUAUCCUCCACUGAUUGCCCGGAUCCCAUCGUCGAAAAACCAUGGAAACCCUAACAAGUUGUCGCCGUCGCCAUCGUCAUCCCACAGUCAACAUUUCUAAUCCAAUUAUAUGUCUGAAUAUACCAUGAAAAUAAAAUAAAGCAGAAGCUCCCUGGCAUUUUCUUUUAAGCAAAGCCUUGAAUCUAGGGAAAAGACUUACAAUAGCAGUAGUAAGAAACUAUCACUGUAUGCCGUCUGGUUCUGUAAUUGACGAUGAUGCCCUAAACAUUUGAAAAAUUAAUUUGAUUGUACUAUACUUAAAUGCAUAAUAAUUACACUGAUCAUUAUCUCUCAGUGUGUGGAAGCUAGUAAUCUCCCAAUAUAGGUGUAAUAGAUUUAAUACGAUGCCUCCUUAUAUUCGAUACGCGUACACUUCUUAAUGUAUGGUCCAAAUGGUCCAUACAAUUCAGUUUAUUAUUAUUAUUGUUCUUGGAUCAGAGAAUAUCAAUGAUGAUUUUACACUUUAAAGCAUAAUUUAGUGACCAAGAUACUAAUGGAAAUGUGAAACAAAUCAAGACUUUAAUCAUUAUGAUUCUACAGGCUGGGUGCCCCCAUGAUAACAUAAACAUUUUUAAAACAACAAAGAGAUUACACAUUAAAAAAAAAGGCGAAUUUUAUACAUUUACAAGUCCUCCAGCUCCAUAUACCAAAGUUUAAAACCUUCUAAAGCCACCUCCCAAAAAAAAAAAAAACUUGCUCUUACGCAUUAUCGAUCGAUCACGUUCACAUCGAUUAAAAUACGAUUUUCGAGUAUUAGAGACAUAGCUACUUUAAUUCCCCAAAAGAACCACUUAACCGACUAUUUAAAGUAACUAAACCGGAAUAAUCUUCCUUAACCGUGAAACCUUCCUCCUCAGUUAGAGGCUUUGGUAGGAUCAUCUUCUUAGAUUCGUCGUCUUCAUCAGAUUCUGAGUAGAUAGAUACUGAGCUCAGGAGCUCCAUUGCUAUCAGGAUUCAUCAUAUAGAAAGCCUCCGAAUCACGCGACCCCACAAUUCGCUCGAACUUCGCCCUCAUAUACAUUAUAUCACCACCGCCACCACCACCGCCGCCGACGGAUGUCUCCUCCGUCUCCGGCAAAACUCCGGCGCCCAUGGAAACCAUCUCAAGCGCCUUCAGAACUUUCUUCUCCUUCUCACCGCCCUCCCUCCUCGUCGCGAACCCACACUUCUUCCCGUUGCAGUAAGUCCUCCACGUCGGCUCCUCCACCAACCGCCGUGGAACCGCAGCCUUCGUCUUAUCUCCUCCGCCGUGGCGGCGUCUUCCCUUUUCUCCUUCUUCUUUCUCUUCCUCCUUGGCCUUGUCGCACUCCAGAGCGAUCCUCACGAGCCCCGAAGCCAUCUCCUUGACAAGUCCGCUGAUCGGAGUCGCGAGCUCGAUGAGAAACGCCGGAGGGGAAGUCGGAUCUUUCUGGACUGAGAAAUGCACGUGUCCGCGGCGUGAUCCGAAAAGCGUGCCCACGACCCGUGACCCGAGUCCGGAGUUGUUGUUACCGGGUCGGGCUCUGCUGAGGGAAGCGAUGACCGAACGGAGACGAGAGACGGCGAAAGAUUGGAGUUUUCUUUUGGGAGUGAUCGCAGUAGAGGAAGAUGAAGAGGAAGGAUUGUGUUUUGGAAGUGGUUUAGUGUUGUCGGGAAGAGGGUUAUGGGAAGGAACGUCGUCGUUUUCGUCUGAUCCGACUUUUCGUGUCCAGUGGAAGCUGUUGUGUCUCUUGGAGGCGAAGUCAUCUGAGUUUGGUUUCGCCAUUGAAAGAAGCUGAAGCUUAAGGGAAGAGAGAGAGACACAGAGAGAAGUGAGUAUGUGGUUAUGGAUGAGCUAAUGAUCAAAGUAGUUGGUGUGAAUUUAACUUCAGGGUUUGGUCUAUUUGGUCACUCUCUCUCUCUCUAUCUCUGCCUUCACUCUUUUAUCUCUCUCUUGUCGCUGUGAAUGUAUUGGUGUGAGAGAGAAGAUUAGAUAAAUACAUCGACAGAGAAUGGACCUACCAACUAAUUUUCUAUAAGAUUUUGGAAAAUAAAGGAGAAAAAGAGAGAAAAUAAUAGUUUCGUUUUGUGUAGAUUUGUCUUUUGCUUUUUUUAGUUCAAUAUUGGUGUCAAAUGAUUCGUCUUGGGAUAAUUUUGCACCAAAUAGAAAAGAAAUAAAGAACAAUUCAUCCACUGAAGAAGAAAAGAAUAAACAGAUUUUUGUUUCUCUAAUGAUCUUCUUUAACUCUACUUUAUUUUUAUUUGUUUCUAUUACUCUCACUAAUACUUCUACUACCUCGUUAAUCUUUUUUUUGGGUAAAUUUACCUCGUUAAUCUUACGGCUAAACUCUCUUCUCGAGAGAAAAAUGUACUGUGUGAAUAUAGUCAUUAAAGUAAUGUGGAUAUUUGGUUAUUUGAUACUCGUUUGUUGUAUUAUUUGGCUUUUGAGAUAUAGUAACUUAUAUGAAUAUAAGUAUUUGUUUAUUGCUAGAGAAUAACUAGGAUUGUGUUUUUGUUGAAUACUUUGGGAGAAACACGAGAAAAUGACAAAGGAAAGGAAUCUGGGAGACAAAGUGUGUUCGUUGUUUCAUUUUCGAUGUGGGGUUAUCACAAAGAGCCUCAUUUUGUUUGACUCCUCAGUCCUCCUCUCUUUUUGACCUCAAUCUUUUUGUACAGUAAAAAGUGUUUAGUACACUUCUUUAUAUUAAAUCUUCACUCUACAUUAGAGUCUCUCUAAUAUUAAAUCUACAUUCUACAUACAGUCUCUCUAAUCAUAUUCAAAAUGUUCGUACAGAAUUUCAAAUGAAUGGGUUUGAUUGAAAAAAAAACGAUAAGAGAAAUUGAUAAAUAUUUUAAUAGUUAACUUAGGAUCCAAUUCAAACUAAAUGUUGACAAAAUCUCGGCCUCCAUAUGAUUAGUCUCAGGAAACUUGCUUGUGUUCGCCGGCUUAGUGUAACAAUGUUGUAUUCUCUUUGUUCCUUGCGUUUGAUGAGUGGAAUUUACAGUGAAAAAGGAUCUAUUUUUCUUUCAAAAAAAAAAGAGAGGAUCCAUUUCAAACCAGCUCUAUGUGAUUAUUGAACAUAUGCUUUUGUAUCUUUCCAUUUUUUAAUAAAACUAAAUAACAAACAUUUUUGAUACCUUUUUAAGUUUUUGGCAGUAGACUAAACUUUUUAAUAUCUUACUAGUAACAAAAGUAAAAAACAGUAGUUGACACAAAGCAAAAGAGUAAAGAACACUGGAGAACUCAAAAUAAUUUGACACAGACGGAUCAAAGUUUUAUUUUAGUUGGCGAUUUACAAGAUCUUUGUAAACAACAUCAACACCAUUUGACACAUUCUAUUACAAACAAAUAACUACAAACGGUUUUGUAUAAAUUUCCUUGGACCAAAAUUCAAUCCCAUCACUUAAAUCACAUAAAUAUACUACAAGACUCAAUAUAACUGGAAGAUACAUGCUUUGGUUGUUUCUUAAGUUCAUGUAAACCAACUUUCUUUCCAAUUAUUUUUCUUCUUCUUCAUCAUCAAGAACUUCAAGUCUUUGUCCCAAAGCAAAUGGAUUUUAUCAAUUAUUGUUGUUCAAGUCAUUAUGUCUAGUAUUAUUGUGUAUGGUGUAAGUACUUCACUGGAAAGUUUUAUGUAUUCAACUAUUCAUGAAAGAUGGGUGAAAUUUUUCUUUUACUAAUGUUUUUAAAUAGUUUUGAUUCAGUACGAAAUAUUCUCAAACAAAGACUGGUGUGACGUGCCAUUGAGAGGCAUACAACAUUCGACAGGCUUUGUCUUAUAUCGUUGAAUAAACGAUCCUAUAACACAAAUCGUAUAAACAAUGUGCAAAAAAGUAUAAAGUUGUAUAGUUUGGUUGUGUUAAUAAAAAAAGAGUACAGUUUGGUUUUAUUGACGUCAUAAAAAGAGAGAAUGAAAUAGGUCCGUUGUGAUGCUAGUUGUUGUCGGGGGCAGAGUAAACAGAGACCUGCGAACUAACACGUCACUCCCGGUGAUGGUCCUAGUAACCAAGUACCGUGCCCUUCUCCAAGUCUCUCUCACCCGAACUACACACUCCAUAUGCUCUACGCGCUUCGAUGAUAUCACAUAUCAAUUUUUUAUUACUUUUAGUAAGAAAGUAGUAACAUGUGUAUUCAGUAAAUGUAAGAAGACAAAAACAUACGAACAAAUAAUUGAGCAAUACUUUUUAUAUUGAUACAACAAGAUAUCAUAUGAUUUUUUUUAGCAACAUGUAAUAUUUUCAUUAAUAAGAAUUAAACAGGUCCAUGGUCCAAGCGCAGAUGAAAUGGUAGACAUGCAAUUUUGGGACAAAUGAAGGGUCAUAAAGAUUGCCAUUGCUCCCAUUCUAUGAUGGCAAUAAAAGAUUUGAGGAUCAUUUCCUAGGAGAGAGGGAUCUUUUUUUGAAUAGGAGGUGAAUGUGUAAGAUCCAAAUUGACCAAGCGUUCCAAGGGAAGGCAUUGCUGGUGAAACCAUAGGUGGGCGAUUCACCCAUACUGAUGAAGUUUGAAGAACUUGAUUGAAGGCAUUUUAUAGGGUAAUAUCCAGGGAUUGACUUCAUGGUCCAAGUUUUCAGAUUUCUUUUGCGAAUUGGCAGUGGAAGUGAAUAUGGAAAAUAGACUCCGAGAUUCCACAUUUGGAACAAGUCAUGUUGAUGAGUAUGCUUUGAAUCUGCAGACUGUCUCCGGUUGGAAGAGCAUUGUAUCACACUUUCUACAAGAAGUAUUAAAGAUCCAGAAGUGACUAUAUAAGCAUUUUUUCCAGUCCUAGUUGUUAUUGUUCAAGAGUGUAAUUGUAUAUUGAGUCUUGGUUGUUUGAACAGAGAAAUAACCUAUUUUUGCUGUGUAGAUACCCCGACUUUUGGAGAGGCCAAAUAUACAAAUCUUGUGAUCCAUGGAGACUAAGGCAUAGGGUUUGUGAAGCAAGGUCUGAUACCUAUUCUUCAAUACGAACUUUGUUCCAUUCUCGAGUUUGCCUAGUUAGAGAGAUAGCGGUUGUCGGCGGUUUGCAACAAUCACUCAAAUCGCUCUAAACCCCUUCAAACAGCUCCGAAUCUCAUAAAUUCAUAAGCUGGCUCCAGCUAGCGUUUGCGGUUGCGGGCGGUUGCGGAAUGGUAAAAUUUUUUAUUUUUUAAACAAUAUAUACAAAAGUAAAAAUAUUUAAUAAAAAAAUUAAAAUUGAAAUUAUGAAAAUAUUAAAAUAUAUCUAUUAUAUUUUAAUUAAUAUUAUAAAAUUUUAUAAUAAAAACAAUUUCAAUAAAUUUUCAAAAAUUAAAAUUAUAACUUUCUAAAUAUAAAUUUUAUAUUUAUUAUAAUUUUAUGAUUUUUGAUAUUUUUAUAAUUAUAUUAAAUGUAAAUAUUGUUAAUUUAUUAUUUGAUUGUUACCGCAUUUGGUAGUUAACCAGUCAUAAGUCACCCGCAAAUGCACCAAUUUUUAACUGCAGUACCAGUCGUACAAAUCUCUUAAAACCGCUAGAAACCACAACCACCCGCAUUUACAAACUUCCGUAACCGCAACCGCAGCCGCUGCGUUUGAACUAGUAGGGAGUUUUUUAGAGAGACCAUUCAGCAUAAAAUUCAAACUCAUACUGGGCCGACUAAUUGGCCCAAGUCAGGCCCAUAUUUCUCCUCCUUGAUUAUUCUCGAAUCUCGACAUUGAUUCAGAAUUUAAAAAUCGCUUUGCUUUGAUAAAAAAAAAAAAAAUCGCUUUGCUCGGUGGUGAACGAGAGGGAAUGGGGUUAGACGAGGAUGAUUUCGUAUUCCACGGGACGCCGAUAGAGCGAGAGGAUGAAAUCGCUAGCCGGAAAAAGAAAGCAGUCGCCGGAGCUUCGGGAACCCUAAAAACUCUCCCUGCUUGGAAGCAAGAGGUGAGAUAUUUUUGAUUCUUCUAGCCGUCUCUUUACUUGCUGCUGCUGAUGAAUAAUAGAUGAAUCGCGAGAACCCGCUUUGGUUAUUAACAUUCGAUGUGAAUGCAUCUACGUGAGCUGGUUUUAGUACUGAGAAUCAUGUUUAUUCGAAAUUGAUAUGUAUCUGAGAUUUAGUUAUUUGUUGUCAGCUUAUGUUAAUGUUUUAUUAGAUUGAUUAUAUGCAGCUUUCCAAUAUAUAUUUACUUAUAUUCUAUGGAAAGCUUCUCAGGUGACUGAUGAAGAGGGACGGAGAAGGUUCCCUGGAGCAUUUACUGGUGGAUAUUCUGCUGGGUAUUACAAUACAGUUGGGUCUAAAGAAGGUAAAAAAUUUGAAAAUUAGUUGGGUGUUUUUUUAGAUUUCCAUCUGUAAUUUGCUGUUUACAGUCUGAGUUGAAUUUCAGGAUGGGCUCCACAGUCGUUUACGUCGUCAAGGAAGAACAGAGCUGGAGCGAGGCAGCAAAGUAUUUCUGACUUUCUAGAUGAAGAUGAAAAGGCGGUAUGUUUCAUAUUCUUUAAAAAGCUCUAUUUCAAGUUAAACGGUAUUGCAUAAUCCUGCUGCAACACUUCUCAAUGGCAACACUUCUGUGGGAAUACGUUCAAUAUAUAUAACGAUGUUAAGCUUCUUUAAUUGCCCUUAUAUCUCAGGAGAUGGAGGGGCAGUCACUGGCUGCGAGCUCGCAGUUUGACACAUUUGGAUUUACAGCAGCCGAACAUUCUCGCAAGCAAGCUGAGAAAGAACAGCAUGAAAGGUCUCUCUAUACCUUUUGUCUCAUAUUCCUUAGUCAUGCAUUGUUGUAGGCUUGUAGCCUGAUCAGAAUUCAAGUGUGGAACGGAUUGUCCUCUCUUUCUUACUAGUUUUUCUACUACUCGUUGCAAUCAUCUGGAAGUUUCUUAGGAGUUUAAGCUCUUUUUUUAGGGCUGCUUCUUUUUGAUUUGGCACGAAAUACAAUUUUGUACAUUGUGUGAUAGUCUAAUUUCGAUAAGUAAAGAAGUUGCUAUAACUUAAAGGUUCCUUUUCUUCAUUUAAGCUGGCUAUGAAGUUAAUAUCUGUAUGUUUUGUGGUUUGUUUGUAACAACUUCUUUACUGUAUCGCAGGCCAUCAGCGAUUCCUGGCCCAGUUCAUGACGAGCUUAUUGCUCCAGCUCCGGAAUCGAUUGGUUAGUUUUGAAAGCCUCUUUUAAGUUUUUGCAAGACCUCCUUUAUCUGUUCUCUUUAUUUUCUCCAGUGCACUAAGUAAAGAGAUCUCACACAUUUUCUUCUUUCUUUUAUUUCAGGAGUCAAACUUCUUUUAAAGAUGGGAUGGCGGCGUGGUCAUUCAAUAAAGGAUGUGCGUGCUAGUUCAGGUUUGAACUUGUUUAACAUGCAUUAAUCCGUAGCUUUCGUUUGUGCACCAAUCGGCAGUGCGUGCCCAGUACAUUUUCAUCUUGGAAAUUCACAUAUCCGACUUUGUUUUUGUUUCCUUUUGAUUAAUUUUACUCCUAAAUCUAACAUGUCUCUCUUUGAUAUGGUGCAGAUGCUCGUAGGGAAGCUAGAAAAGCAUUCUUAGCCUUCUCCGCUGAUGAGAAUACUAAGGAAUCUUCGGACUCACUGGUUUUGGAGACUGAAGCGGAAACUUCUCUGGGUCCACAGUUCAGUGAAGAUAUUAAAUUUUCUGAAACCACACCUGUGAGUCAACUUUCUAGUUUUUCUUUGAAAACGAACUUUAUGCUGUUCAUUGUAAUUGCGAUGUUGCAUACAUCUUUCAUUCAGAUUUGAACUUCGUAUCAGAACAAAUUUAGGACUGUAGAUACGGCUUCUAAUCUGCUGCAGAUUUUCUUUAGAUAUUACCCUCAGAUACUUUAAUUUGUGAUGAUUCUCUUUGUGCCUUCGUAAUCUAUUGCAGGUAUAUGUUCUCAAUCCAAAGCUGGACCUGCAUGGUUUAGGAUAUGAUCCUUUUAAGCAUGCUCCUGAGUUUAGAGGUAUGUAGUUUGGACUUUUAUGAUGUUUUUGCUGUCAGAGCAUUCUUUUCAUUAAUUUGCAUUUGUUCUGAAUUGUAGAAAACAAAAGAUCUCGCUUGUCUGCCAGUAAGGAGGCUGGCUACAGAAAACCUUUGUCAAUGAAGGAAAGUCUUUUCGGACCAAAAUGUAAGAUCCUGUCUUACCGUUUGACAUGUUGUAUUGCAUAUGUAUAUGCCAGAUUUUGGUUGCCAUUAUUGUGGUGUUUUGCUAAUAUGAGUUUAACAAUCAGCAGGAAAGAUGGCUCCUGGUUUUGGCAUUGGCGCACUCGAGGAGCUUGAUGUCGAGGAUGAAGAUGUGUAUGCUGGUAAGAACAGAUUUGCUAUAUCUCUAAUCAUGGUUGUUUUUCGUUAUAAGCAGACGUAUAUCUGUGGGGUUUGAACUGUUUCUCUGAUUCUCGAGGAAGCAAACCAUUGUCUGUUAAAGUAAAUUAAUUCUGGUUAUACCAAGUUUGUAUGCUAUAAUACCAAGUGUAUUUCAUUUCUUUCAGGAUAUGACUUUGAUCAGACUUAUGUCAUAGAAGAUGAACAGCCAGCAAGACCGAGCAAUGACAAUAGACUUAGGUUAACCUCAAAAGAGCAUAACGUUCUGCCUGGUUUUGGAGCUGCUUCGAAUUCUGACUACAGUGUAGAAAGGUAUACCAAAUUAACUUUUAACUCAAUGUCAUCUCACUUCUGCACGUGUAGUGGAGCUCUUUCUCUCAUAAUUUUCUGAUUACAACGAUUUACUUUCAUCUGCAUAUUACUAGAAUUCACAUCAUUUUGUUUUUUUUUUCCUUCUUAUUUUGUUAGAUUUGAUCCUCCGAAAAUCCCAAAGGACUUUGUGGCCCGACAUAAAUUUUCUGGUCCUCGGGAGACUGAAACUAAGCCAACCGCUUCUACUCCUCGAGAUGUUCCUCCCCCUGAAGAUAAGAAUCUGAAACUUCUGAUCGAUGGCUUUGCAACAUUUGUUUCCCGCUGCGGGAAACUGUACGAGGAUCUCUCUAGAGAGAAGAACGAAUCAAAUCAGUUGUUUGAUUUUCUUCGGGGAGGUAGCGGUCAUGACUACUAUGCAAGAAGGCUGUGGGAGGAGCAACAAAAGCGCAGUGGUCAAAGUAAUCUACAGUUAGAUGUUAAGGUCCCUCCAAGCGUGCAGAAAAUGACUGCAGAAACGCGUGGUAGCUUAUUAGGGGAAAAGCCUUUGCAGAAAAGUUUGAAAGAAACAGAAACAUCUUCUUCUUCUGGAGGAUCAUUCCAGUUCCCGACCAAUCUCUCUGACACAUUCACCAAAUCAGCUUCCUCUGUAAGUAAACUACUUUACACCUUAUAAGAAUUUAGCAUGACUACACUUAGUAGAUGUGUUUCAAGGAAGUCAUCUGCCUUUCUUUACCUUUCACUAACAUUUUAGACUUUUUUGCUAUUUCUCUCCUUGAAAUAGCAAGAGGCAGCAGAUGCUAUAAAGCCUUUCAAAGAAGACCUAGCAAAACAAGAAAGAUUUGAGCAGUUUCUCAAGGAGAAAUAUAAAGGAGGUUUACGUUCAUCAGAUUCCAACAGAUUCAACAUAGUGUCGGAAUCCGCUCGUGCUCAAGAGAGGUUGGACUUUGAGGCUGCAGCUGAGGCAAUUGAGAAAGGGAAAGCUUACAAGGAGGUCAGACGGGCUACCGAACGGCCUAUCGACUUUCUUGCCGGAGGGCUGCAGUUUACUUCUGGUGGAACAGAGGUAUGCCUACAGAAUCUUCAUAGCUUUAUUCUGUGCAUUGGGGGUUCUAUACUCAUAUGCAAAAUUGUUUUUUUUUCUAACAGCAAAUUAAAGACACUGGAGUAGUAGACAUGAAAACAAGUAAGACAUACCCUAAAAGGGAGGAGUUCCAGUGGCGUCCUGCACCUCUUCUGUGCAAACGUUUUGAUCUUCCUGAUCCGUUCAUGGGAAAGGUAAAUAAGUGGUUCCUUGCUUCUCCUUCUGGAAUGUCAUUUAGACUAGAAAAUGAACUAUCCUAUAAUGUCUUGUUGUGGAACGCAGAUUUGUUGGUGAAAAUUUUGCAUAAUCAUGAACUUAGUCGCAUUAAAUGCAAUUUGAUGUGAUAAAAUAUACAAACAAUGAAUGAUGUGCGUGUUGAUAUAAAUGACAAAAAGAUAGUCAGAAACACUGCUUUCAACUUGAUAUCUGUUGGUUAAUUUUGUCAUAAUAAAAGGCUCAUUGUAUUCUUUUUCUUAUAGGAUCCCUUCAAGGGGUACAUUAUGCGAUUUUCAGUGUCAUGUUCUUGCUUAUUGAUGUUUUAUUUAAUCUUAUACGCUUUCCCUUCAAUUUUACAGCCGGCAGCUGCUCCGAGAGCAAGAAACAAAAUGGAUUCUCUCCUAUUCUUGCCGGAUACAGUGAAAGCUGCAUCUGGAUCGGGAGCACGCCAAGUCUCUGAUUUACAAGAACCUGAGAAAGAGCCUGAAGUCGAGGUAGAAGUGGAGAAUGUGGAGAGACCUGUUGAUCUUUACAAGGUAAAGAGGGUGUCUUUGUCUGAAAAAGUUUAUGCUAUAUCCCAAUUUGAUCAGUCGACUAAUAUUCGGUUAUGUUCACUUGUAGGCCAUUUUCUCUGAUGAUUCUGAAGAUGAUGAAGAACAACAACCUAUGAAUGGAAAGAGACAAGAGGGUCAAGAAAAGAAGAAUGAAGCAGCUGCAACAACAUUAAACCGACUGAUAGCUGGUGAUUUUCUAGAAUCUCUAGGGUAAGAACUAGGUUUCGAAGUACCUUCUGAUGCCCCUUACCCGGAAGGAACCAAGCCAAUGGAAGCAGAGAACAAGGCCAAAGGCAAGCCCGAUGCUUCUUCUGAGAGAAGACCUGGAUUGAAAGAGAAACCGGAGGAGAAGACGAGCAGCCUCAAACCCGUGUCUGAAGAAGAAAAGAGUACACAAAAGAGAGAGAAGUCGCCAAGAAACUGGAGUGGUGGAAACGAUCUAUAUUCGAGUGAAUCCUCGGGAGAUGAACGGAGGAGAAAACGUUCCAAGAAAGAUAGGCAUAGAAACUAUGAUUCAGAGAGUGACUCGUCCAGUGACUACCACAAACGGGAUAAGCAUAGCUCAAGAUCAAGAAGAAAGCAGAGAGAAUCUUCGAGAGAGAAGAGGAGUGGCCACAAGAAACAUUCAAAGCAUUACAAGACCAAGGAUUCUUCUUCCUCACGGUACAGCGGAGACGAAGAACGGAAAGAGUCAAAGCGGGAGAAGCGGAGGCGAAGAGACUGAAGUCAAACCAGAGUUAUUGGCUGGCUUAACUCGGGAAAUAUCAAAACACUUGCAGACAUUAUUAUUGUGAACAUUGAAACACCAUAGACUCGAGUUAUGCAAUGAAAGAUUCUCUGCACUGCCUCGAUGGUCAGUUGGUAUAUCAAAUGAUGAGUUUAGUUUAUUAUAUGAUACGGUUGUGUUCAGUGAAUCCUUAGGAUAAUUAUAUGGUUUCUUUACUUUAUUAUUGGUAAACAAUUGUUAAAUCUUGUUUAGCCUUUCAUUUAUUAGAAUUGUAUUGUUAAUCAACCUUCAGAGGGCGUCUGUUGGAACAAAGUUCUAUAAUUAAAAUCACUGAUUAAGCUAAGUGGUACAUCUCCACUUUCAACACUUGCAUACAUCCUUUUGUGAACAUUGAAACACCAUAGAAUCAGAGUUAUGCAAUGAAAAGUUCUCUGCAUUGUCUUGAUGGUGAAGGUGGUAUAUCAAAUGAUAACCUUAGCAGUCCUGGAGCUUAGUUUACAUAUGAUACGAUUGUUUUUUUUAACUUUGUGAUUGAUAAACAAUUGUUAAAUCUUGUUUAGCCUUUUAUUGUGACUUGUAUUGUUGGUCAAACCUUCAGUUACAUACGUCUAAGGAUGUCUGUUGGAACAAAGUUCUGUAAUUAAAAUCACUGAUUAAGCUAAUAAGUGGUACAUCACAUUCUCAAGGCAGCUAAAAAAUUGAUUCUUUUCUAAACCCUCUAACGCUAUCUAGAAGGCUUUUGAAUCAACUACAAAACGCAAAACGCGGAUUAAAACGGAGGGGAGAGACUCGUUGCUUCUAAACCGCGCGUCGCGUUUCGCUGGGAAGAAGCAUCCAAAACGGCACGAGCGGUCUCCAAAACGCCUUGACCGCUAACGUAAUGACUCCGACACACAGGCAUAUACACCUCCGCUCCACCAAUCAACUCCGUCUCCCUCUCCUCCGUCUUCCUCAGCGUAAACGAAGCUCUCUUCCCACAAACCUCCCACCCCGACGCCAGCUUCGUAACCGUAUCCGCAACCGGAACCAAAUCCAGCACCGAACCGAACCUCCUCCUCAGAUAAUCACCGUCCAAUCCCGCCACAAUUACCGUUUUACCCUCCUUAUCAGCCGCCUCGCGGCAAAACUCGUAGAGGUCCCCGAAGAACUGCGCCUCGUCGAUCCCAAUCACGUCCAACUGAUUCCUAUACGCAUCGAAACCGAAUCUCUCCUUGAAAGAGUUUAGAUCAGGGAGAGCCCAGCAAGGGAACUUCUCUCCGUCGUGAGUAACGAUCGAUUCCGCACAGUACCUGUCAUCUUUAUCCGAUUUGAUGACGGCUACCUUCUUCCCGCUCUCCCUCUCCGAGAGGAUUCGGCGGAGAAGCGUUGUGGUUUUCCCGGAGAACAUCGGACCGACGACGACGUGUAUCUCCCCGGGGGGAGCAGAGAAGGGCUUAGACUUAGACGCCGCCUCCGUAUGCAAUUCGCGGCGUGAGGCCGAGGGACGAUGCGGAUUAGUGGGGAGUCUGUUGAGCGAGAAGGCGGAAGCUGUGAGAGGGUAGCGGGAGGCGCGGAGAGCUGUAGAGAAGAGGGAAGGUUUAGGGAGGUGGAGAGAGAAGAGGGGAGGAAGAGAUGGAGAGAUUAGUGUUCUCAUUGAAGCAGCAAAGAUUGAGAAAAUGAUUUUUUUUCGCAACUCCUAGGGUUUAAGCAGAUAGUGGAAAAAUGAAGUUAAGCUGGAGUGAUGAGAUAGUGGGCCAUAAUAUUUAUAUGAUACUACUGGGCCUUAAGUAGGCCCUUGACCGUGGGCCAAUUCUUAGACAUUCUUUGACUUUUUGGGUUUGGAUUUAUAACUAGAGUCUAGAGGUUAGUUUCAGAUAUCAUAUGUAAACUCUCUUUACUACUAAUACAGAUCAAAAUCAUUAGUACUGAGUAUAUUGAGUUGACCCAGGAAAAACAAAAUGAAAAUUCUAGAUUAGUUAGAGAAUAUGAAAAAUGGCAAAACUUUAAAGUCAAGCUUGAUGCCAAAGUAGAUUGUAAUCUUUUUUAAUCAAGGCACAUAUGUUUUAAACCAAAUUUUGAUUGAUAAAAAGAUUAUUUCGAAAUUUUUUAUCUGACCAUAUCUUGUUUAUAUGGAAAAAUAUUACAUUUUUAGUCCUAGUUUUUUUUUUUUUUUUUUUUUGCUAAUAAACCUGCACUGUAUCCUAGUAGUCAAAGUUUAAAAGUUUCUACAUCUAAAUUUGGGUUCGAAUCUCAUGCUAUAUAAUUUUUUUGCAAAUUGCACAUUAUAGGACGUCCAUAUUUCAAUUUCCGAAAACGAUUUAUUAAACAGUUAUGCAGACACUACAGAAUAAAUAUUUACAGGGAUCUUCGUAAUUAUAAUAUUAUAAUAAAUUAACAAAAAAACUUGCACAUAUAUUUUUAAUUGUAACGGUCGAUAUACAAAUCUAUCUAAAUAUUUAUCUACUCCACAUCUUAUCUUCAUAUUAUUGACUAGAAAAUAUAAGUAACACAAGAGUUGAACUUUUGUAUAGAAAUCAUUUGAUAUACUUUUUACAAACAGUAUAGAAUCAUUUGUCUCCUUGAUAUUUAAUCUUUUCAUUUUAAUUAAUAGACUAGAAAAUAGAAAAUAAAUGAAAAAGGUUCGACAGUAAAAAAAAAAGUAGAAGAAAAAGAAGUUUUUGAAGAAAAAAACAUGAGAAUCUUUGUCUUUCCAGUCAAAAUUUAAUUGACCAAAAGGACAAAAGACGAGGAAGAGAAAAAAGAGAGUAAAAUGUACGGCAAAAAGGAUAAAACGGUGAGUCAUCAGAUUCCAUUUCCUCCUUUCAAAUUCGGUGGUUGUUGGUCUUUGUGUUACUCUACUCUCACAUGCAUGUAUGUAAGUAACUACGCCUCUCCCCCUCUAUAUAUAUAAUAUACUAGAGGCUCGUUGGUAUACAUAAACUACAUCUACCUCUCUCUCUCUAAAUUUUUGAGAUCUCCAGCUUUCCAUCAAUAAUUUGUGUUGAUCACUUAUUAUCUCAGAUCUGUAAACUCUAUUCUUUUUUUGUUUGAUUUACGAUUGUUUUGGUUUGUCUUCUCAUUUACCUUUGGCGAAUAUGAUGAAAGUUGAAGUCGCUGGAGGCAGCGGUUCAUCGAUCAAUUCCUGUGAAAAAUGAUGUUGGAAACAAUUUACAUGGGAAGCAUGAAUCGAUCGAUAAACCUCUGCAUCCAGUGCUUCUCCUUCCUGAUUUGUCUCAUUUCUUCUGUAUUAAUCUAUUUUAAUCUGACAAUAUGAACAUGAGAUAAAGAUACUCUGAAUUAAAAAAAAAAAGAAAAAAAUUCUCAGCUGAUAUCAAAAGUAUUUUUACUUAUGGAUCUUAGCUUUUGAGAACGUCAGGGAAAAUUAUACUAAGCCAAAUUCUUUUUUUUUUUAUGUAUACAAAAAAAAUGAUAAUUUUUUGAGGACUUUUGCUUAUGAUUCUUGUCUCUUUAUUUAUUUAUUUUUUGGGUAAAAAAAAUCAAUCUUGUUGUUUUUUUUUGUUUGUAGGUGUACUUGCUGUGUCCACCAUGUGUUCAUACUUGAAUGACAUACAAACUAUCUUAAAUCCAACCAUGUACUUAUGUCUGAUGACAAUUUCAUGAAAACCCUUUUUUCCAAAAAAAAAAAAAAAUCCUCUAUAGGUUUUAAUGAUAGUGUUGGUUGCAUGUUUUCUUGAUCUGUUUUUGAACCAAGGUCGUGACUCUGCUGCUGAUAGAAUUUUUCUUCUGGUUUACAUGUAUCAAGGGUUUGAGUUCCUUGUUGACUCAAUUCAGGUUUUCAGAUCAGCUAAAAUGAUAAGACUCUGGCCACUGGUUUUCUCCUGCUUUUUUUUGUACCUGAAGAUAGCUGUGUGUUGUGAUGGGUUUACCUCUUGAGGUUUGCUGAGAUCUCGGGUUUUCUUGAUGCAAUGUGUGACUUUUUGUUACCUUCUCUGGCUCUUUAAUCCGGCAUGUUACCUGGAUGUUGUUGCCUUACGGACCACCCUUGUUUUUUUUUCUUGUCUAAUUAUAAGAGAUCCACACAUAACACUAAUCUUUACCCAUGGAACAAUAAUUACUCAACACGUUGGUAAAUUGUGUAAUCUAGAGAGCGUAAUAAUCCUUUAGUUUUUUUUCUUUUUUGGAACAAUAAUCCUUUAGUUAGGAUCCUUUUUUUUAACACAAUUUAGUUAGGAUCCUAGUGGGUGACAUUCAGUGAUUAAAAACAGUCAACAGAGCCAUACUACUACUACUUGUUAUUUUCGCAUUAGCUUCUGUUUUGUAACAUUACCACUAAUGAAAGUGGAUGUUCAAGAAGAAUCUAAUGACAUACAUCUGUUGGAAAAAGACACUUUUGUUUGUUUGUCAUUGGUGUUCCUUGUGUCCAUUUUUUUUUCUGCCCUUCUUUAGCAGCACGGGAAAAAAAUGAUGGAAUCUGGUGAAGUGGAUGGAUUCCUGAGCUCGUGGGUUUUAAAAUUCCUUGGAGAAAACUUCAAAUGGUAACAAUAUUCCAUUCACAAAUUAGGUAAGAAAAGGAGAAUCUUGUUCUUUAGGAUCAACACUUGUGAUCUUUUCUUAGAUUCCCCCACACUGGAGGGUGGUAAAACAUGUGAAAAUAGUGUUAUUCGCCUAAUGGUGAUGCUAAAUAGAAUGAUGUAAUAUCACUUCCUAGAGUUUGAUUCUAAUAUGUGAGCUUGUUUGUUUUAAGGUCUACUAAUGUUGCUGACUAUACACAUGAUGUGCAAAUAAUGUUUGUAAAUGCUAUGGAGUUUGUGAUCUGGUGUGUUUUUCCUCAUCUUCCUUCAAUCAUGGGCAAGUUAUUAUGAAUAAUAGGAAGGAGAUGAUUUUCUUCUUAUAAACCAAAGUAAAAUUCUGAUUUUAUCAUAGAGUGUUGAGCAAGUGUGGUUAAUUCACUUGUUUAGCAUGCUAAACAAAGCAGGAGAAGGAAACCUAGACCAAAAUCAGUUGAUCGUUGAGAUCUUUGGUCUUGUGUGGGAGGAAGUCAAUUGUAGUUUUCGGUUUUGGUGAUGUUUAAUUGUAACACAUUUGACGGUUGGACACUGAACCAGAACCGUAAAAUUGUAGUGUACUUUAAUUGUUUAUUAGUACAAUGGUUUAACUAAAAGUUCAUAGGAGAAAAGGGAAAAAAAAUCAUCUGGUUUAAUUCGUUUGUUCCAAAUCAUAACCAUCUUUAAACCGACGGUUCAAUUUGACCGGUUUCUAUUACAGUACGACACUACUACUGUUCUGUACUAGCAUUAAUCAAAAACGCAACGAUUCUGUUUCGGAUCGGUAAUGACUGGCUCAGCUUGCACAACUAACUUCCACGUAGGAUUACUCUAACCAAUCAAACACCACCAUUCAAAUCCUCUAUCUUUUUUUUUUCUUUCAAGAAACGCUCGUAACCAUAAACUCUUCAGUCUCCAUUGUUUUCUUCUUAAAUGCAUUUAUAAUCUUCCGUAGCUGAAGAAACAGUUUGCAGACAACAUAAAGUCUUUGUCUUCUUCUCUCUGUCACAUUGAUUUGUGAAGAAGAAGAGUGGCAGAGAAACCCAUGGCUAUGGCGGAGAUGGCAAUGAAGUCUUCAGUAACAACUGCAAAACUCACUCUUCCUCCUUCUUCUUCGUCUUGUAAGAAGAGAGUGAGGCAAGUCUCUGUCGCACUUCCGACAACAACCUCAAUCUCUCUGUUAUCUGUCUUCUCAUCUCCUCCCCCUGAAGCCAAAGCUGCCGUUUCCAUUUCCAAGGACCAGAUCGUCUCCUCUCUCACUGAAGUAAAUUCUUGACAAAUUUCAAUUUUGGAUUCCCUCUUUUGAAAACCCUUUUGCUUGACGAACUCUUUGUUGUCUGUAACAGGUGGAGAAGACAAUCAACCAAGUUCAAGAAACUGGUUCGAGUGUUUUCGAUGCAACGCAGCGUGUUUUCCAAGUGGUAGGAGACGCUCUCAAACCAGCCUUGGACACUGCUUUGCCCAUCGCAAAGCAAGCCGGCGAAGAGGCUUUGAAGCUUGCUUCUCCUGCUUUCUCAGAGGCUUCGAAGAAAGCUCAAGAAGCAAUGCAAAGCUCUGGUAUUGAUGCAGAGCCUGUCUUUAAUGCUGCAAAGGUCAGUUAGAAACUCAGCAACUCUUAGGUUUUGGUGGGCAUGAAUAUAAGUGUGUUGUUGUUUUUGUUGGUGUGUAGACAGUAACAGAUGUGGCCCAACAGACAACAAAGGCGAUUGAAGAUGCUAAGCCUAUUGCUUCAUCGACUAUGGAGACGAUAUCCUCAGCUGAUCCUAGUGUCGUUGUUGUUGCUGCUGGUGCUGCCUUUAUUGCUUACCUUCUCAUCCCUCCUGUUUGGUCUGCAAUAUCUUUUAACUUCCGUGGUUACAAAGGUAAAAAAAGUCUAAAAAACUUUAUUCAUAUAUCAUAUCGAGAACAUGAGCUCCUCUAAUUGAUUCCUAAUUAAUCUGAUCAUUUUGUUAAUUGGUUAUUGGUGUCUAGAGUCUAGUUCAAGUUAGCAAAAAAGUUGAAAACUGAUUGUGUCUCUAAGUUUGCCUCUAUAAUAAAAACUACUCUAUCACACCUUUAUUUCUUCUUAUAAAAUAGAAAUUGCCAGGAAAAAAUAACAUUUCUCUAUUCUUAGUGUAUAGUUGGAGAUUGCUAUUUUUUAAAACAAUACAUUCGAGCAAAUCAUAUGUCUAUUAAAAUUCCUCUAUUUUAGAGGAAAAAAUAGAAAAAUACAUCGGAGAUAAUCUUAUACGUUGUGAUUUAUGUUUUAAGGUGACCUCACACCGGCUCAAACACUUGAUCUUCUCUGUUCCAAGAACUACCUAAUGGUAGAUAUAAGAUCAGAGAAAGAAAAAGAAAAAGCUGGGAUUCCUCGUCUUCCUUCAAAUGCUAAGAACAGUAUGAUCGCCAUUCCGUAAGUCUUUUUUUGUAUAUUAUGAUCAUAUAUGUGUUUUUUCUUUACAAGAAACAAAAAAAAAAACUCUGCUUCUUCUUAUGGUGAUCAGAUUAGAAGAGCUACCGAACAAAGUAAAAGGAAUCGUGAGGAACUCAAAACGUGUUGAAGCAGAAAUAGCAGCAUUAAAGAUAUCUUACCUCAAGAGAAUCAACAAAGGCUCCAACAUCAUCAUCAUGGACUCGUGAGUUGUAUUUUAUAUUUUGCUCCUUUUUACAAGACUUUUGUGGAAUCUUUUUUUUUUGGUUCAUGUGAAUCUUUAUUGGUUUCGUAGGUACUCGGACUCAGCUAAAAUAGUGGCGAAAACGUUAAAGGUUCUCGGGUUUAAGAACUGCUGGAUCGUUACAGAUGGAUUCUCUGGUGGAAGAGGAUGGUUGCAGAGCCGUUUGGGCACUGAUUCUUACAACUUCUCGUUCGCACAGGUCUUGUCUCCAUCGAGGAUUAUACCAGCAGCUUCUAGGUUCGGUACUAGAUCAGGAACCAAGUUCCUUCCUAGCUCGGACUGAGAAAACAAGAGAAUGUAUUAUUAGCUAAAGAAGUGUUGUUUUAUAUUCCUUUUUACAUCUCAACUUUGAGAGAUCUUUUGGUAAAAUUUUCGAAUUAUUAUUUGUCUUUUAGAUUGAUGAUCAGAAGUGGAACCAACAAAAAAACAAAGCUUAAAAUCAAGCUGAAUAUCACCUUUGAAAGAAGAAAAAAUGAUCAAAUAAACAGAGAUGAUCGGGCCUAUAGUGAAGGUAGGAAUAAUUUGGGUAAAAUUGUAAAUUUAGGAUUAAUUCAGGACUGUGGUUGUAAUUAUACAUAGAUGCAACUAAUCAGUUAUCUGGUAGGCCUGCGUGUGGCUUAGCUUUACUAUCUAAGAGGUUGGUUUGCCAGUUGCCACCAUCUCUUUGCCGAAUAUCCAUUUUUUUUUUUAAAAAGUGGUAGGGUAUUUUAGAAGUUUAGAAUAUUGUGGUAGCCUGGUAGGUCUGUCUGUGGUUUUAUUUUUUUAGUGCUUACAAUAUUGUGAAAAAACAAGAGACUUUUGCAAAACAAUUAUACAUCCUGUGUAACAAAUUGAUUAAUCUGCCUGCAGAUUAUAUAAAAACUUGAAUAAAGAAAAUUGUUGUCCAACCAAAAAGAUAAUACAGGCAAAUAUGUUAAUUGACUAAUCAAACUGUGCAUAUCAUUUCACAUCUUAAACAUCUUGACUCUACUGGUUCACUAAUGUACAAGGAAGUUGAUAAUGUGUUUAGACUGCAAUUAGUAGAUAUGUACAAAGAUGAUGAUCAAAAGUGGAAAAAAAGUAAAAAAAGUGUCAAGAGAAUUCAACUACAGCAAUGUACAAAGACUGGAACCAAUACAAAGAUACAUCAAAUCAUUGGAAUCUUUAUCAAAUUUCAAAAGUGUUUUUUGUUUUACUUUUCCUUUUAUGGUAUCAUCAACUUUAAGAAAUCUUUUCUCAUUAUCGCUCAUCAACACAACUUAACUUCAUAUAGACUGAAAACAACAAAAAGAUACAAAACAACAUCAUCAAAUAAAAUUUAAACUAAAAUGAAAAAUAACAAGAAGAAGAUCAGAUAAGCAACAAGAAGAUGACAAGAAGAUGAUCAUCAGAUGAUAAUCAGACGUAGAAAGAGCGAUUUAAAAAAAAAAAAAAGAAGAUCAGGACUAGAUCGACACGUGGCAGUGCGCGCUUUUUUAGUUUUUUAAUUACGUGGAGAACUUUCCCACUCCACUCUUUAAAAUUCAUUUUCAAUCAAAAUCAUUCAUAUGCCUUUGUAUUAGGUUCUUCUCUCCAAGUUAAGAGGAAAACAAAAAUGGCGUACAAAUCCCUAGAUUCAAUCACGAGGUCUGAUCUCAAAGCUCUAGGGAUCUCCGACGAUGUAUCUUAUAAGCUUCUCAGAGAUCUCCAAGACAUCAUCAGUAAUCACAGCUCCGCCACGCCGCCGCCUGAGAGGUGGAUUGAGAUAUCUCGACGGAUCCUUCACCCUGACCUCCCUUUCUCUUUUCACCAGAUGAUGUAUUACGGCUGCUACAAGGAUUACGGACCCGACCCGCCCGCUUGGUUACCCGACCCGUAUGAAUUGCUCUUUUUUAUCAGAUUUCUAGACGUUUCGCUUUGUUAUUUAAUCGGUGGUGUGGUGAUGGUCUCUUUUAUAGGAAGGUUGCUUCUUUAACUAACGUUGGCGGUUUGCUAGAAAGGCGUGGGAGAGAGUUCUUAGGUGAUGAUAGCUAUAAGGAUCCCAUUUCGAGUUUCUCGAGUUUUCAAGACUUCUCUGUAUCUAAUCCUGAGGUAAGUAACAAGUAACAAUACUACUCUUGUUUUUAUUUUAUUUUUGAAUUAAGUGCAAUGUUAAAUUAUCCGGUGGCCAACCUUAUUAAGCUCGACAUGUCACACUAGUCGCAGGGCCUAUAUGUUUUUUUUUUUUUUUUUGUAAUUGUGGUUUUUUCACACUGUUGCAGGUGUACUGGAGAACUAUUCUGGAUGAGUUGAACAUAUUGUUUUCUGUACCUCCUAAGUGUGUUUUAGAGAAGGACACGUCUGGAGAUAACCCUGGGGGCAGUUGGCUUCCUGGAGCGUAUCUGAACCCUGCGAGGAGCUGUUUGAGUAGUGGCUCAAAGAGGAGAUCGGACGACGACGUUGUGAUCCGAUGGCGUAACGAAGGAAGCGAUGAUCUUGCGGUUAAUAACAUGACGCUUCUUGAGUUACGGUCACAGGUUUGGUAUGGAAUUUCUCAUCCUUUUGUCGAAAAUGAGAAGUUUUUAUUUGGUGAAAGAGAUGAUAAUGUAUACUGUUGUUUAUCUGAUGUAUAAGGUUAGCUGCACAUGCUCUUAAUGCCUUGGAUUUGGAGGAAGAGUCAGCAAUCGCGAUUGAUAUGCCAAUGAACGUUGAGUCCGUGAUCAUAUACCUUGCCAUUGUUUUAGCAGGCCACGUGGUUGUUUCUAUAGCUGAUAGUUUCUCUCCCCGUGAAAUAUCGACGCGGCUUAAAAUUUCAAAAGCAAAAGCCGUAUUUACUCAGGUACAUCUUCUCAUGAUUCUUUGAUAACUGUACAAUUCAAGGUGUGGUUUUUGUUUUUGUUUUUGUUUUAUUAGUGGUGAACUGUUUGGCUUUUGGGUAUUAUUUAGUUAAAGUUGUGGCGACAAUCUUAACGGUUGUAAGAUGUCUGUAGCCUGUUUGGAAAAUCCACUCUGGUUGAAUUUAGUAUAAAGUAGUUUGGCAUAUAAUGGCUACUGUUUAAAAACCAUCACCAAUCAUAUAACAGGGUUUUACUCACGUUAAUUAUUGAAAAAGCAGAUGUGACAUUUUUUUUCUUCGUUUCUUUAUUUUUCAUUUCGUUUAUCUUUUUUUUCCAGGAUGAGAUCAUUCGUGGUGAUAAAAGUAUUCCCCUUUAUAGGUGAAGUUUUUUGCAAUCCAGCAGGCCUGAAUUUUUUUUUCUCAAGAAACCAGGUGUAAAAAUGGUUCUCAUGUUAUCUAUUUGACUCUGCAGAAGGGUCGUUGAUGCAGAAGCACCCUUGGCAAUUGUUAUUCCAGCGAGAGGCUCAUUCGUCAGAAUGAACCUCCGUGAGAAUGAUUUGUCUUGGAACGAGUUUUUGGGAAAGGCAGGAAACAUGAGGUACACUCAGUGUAUACAAUACUCUACAGCUUCCAGUUAUAAACUGAAAACAACAUCAACGAAAAAGUUCAGUAAAAAAAAAACCACAGCAACGUUUUCUUGAUAGGGGUGAAAUUUAAAAUCUUACAUUUCACCUGAUAAUAAUAGCCAAUAAAUAAGUUGUGAUACUUGUUUAAUGUCAUAAAAACGAAUACGCACUUUUUUACUGUUCUUUCAGAGGUGUGGAAUAUAUUGCUGUAGAGAAACCAGCAGGAGCUUGCACGAACAUCCUUUUCUCAUCAGGAACAACCGGUAAGCCAAUGGAUAAAAGCUGCAUCAUGGAAUGUAGAUAAGGAUGUGUGUGUUGAAAUACUAUGUUUUGCGUUUCUGGUGUAGGUGAUCCAAAGGCUAUCCCAUGGACCAACAUUUCUCCUCUGAAAUCUGCUGCUGAUGCUUGGUGCCAUUUGGAUGUUCAUCAGGGAGAUGUUGUUGCUUGGCCGACCAACCUUGGGUGGAUGAUGGGUCCGUGGCUCGUUUAUGCUUCCUUGAUAAAUGGGGCUUGCAUGGCAUUGUACAAUGGAUCACCUCUUGGUCCUGCCUUUGCCAAAUUUGUGCAGGUAAGCAAUGUAACUUAUGCAUUCCUAUCCCAUUGGCUUAACAGAUAAAAAAUUUGAAGAGAUAAAAGCAAUUGAUAGUUUGUGUCAAUAUUCCUUAAACCAAAUCAUUUAAAUAUCUAACGGGGUUUAUAAUCUGGGGUUAGGAUGCUGAGGUAACAAUGCUAGGUGUGAUACCAAGCAUUGUUCGGACGUGGCAAAACUCAAACUCGACUUCUGGAUAUGAUUGGUCACGAAUCCGGUAAUUCCCAAAGUUGAUCCCCAGUUAAGCCUGAAAGUUCUCGUAGCUAGGAGUUUAAAUGUUUGUAAAUGUCCUCAUGUCACACAAAUAUAAAUUUUCCGAAAUGAAUAAACUUAGGUAGGUUUAAACUAACGUUCCUAUGAAAAAGUGUUUGAUGAACAUAUUUUGACAUCGCUAAACUGAUGAUAAUUUUUAGACAGUAACAUUGAUGUCUUAUGUUUAAUACUUUUUCAACAGUUGUUUCGGUUCGACUGGUGAAGCCUCGAAUGUAGACGAGUAUCUAUGGCUGAUGAGCAGGGCUCAUUACAAACCUGUAAUCGAGUAUUGUGGAGGAACUGAGAUUGGAGGUAGUUUUGUCACUGGUUCUUUGCUCCAGCCUCAGUCCCUGGCUGCUUUUAGCACCGCUACCAUGGGUUGCAAGCUUUUCAUUCUCGGUGAAGAUGGCAAUCCUCUUGUAAGCAAAUUUAUUUGCGUCAUCGAUGAUGCAGUGUUGAUUCUGAACGAUUUUAAGGUGUCAGGGAUUGAACUGAAGUUAGCAUGGUCGUUUUUUAUUUUUCCUUCCUCAUUUCAGCCUCCAGAGGCAGAAGGAGUAGGAGAACUGGCUCUUUAUCCUCACGUGUUUGGAGCCUCAAGCACUCUCCUGAAUGGAAAUCACUACAACGUUUACUUCAAAGGAAUGCCCACCUUCCAAGGACAGGUAAUCCAACUCUUGCCACAUUCUCACGUAAGUUUUCAUCAGUUUUGAGUGUGCUGCAUACCUGCUUUUCGAUAGAUUUUAAGAAGACACGGAGAUUUAUUUGAACGGACUUCAAAAGGAUACUAUCGUGCUCACGGACGUGCUGAUGACACAAUGAAUCUUCGUGGUAUAAAGGUAACCUUACUUACUAUACAAUGCUCUUAUUAUAUAGUAUUAAUGUACAUUAUCAUAAUUCAUAAUCAUACUCUGCCGCCUGUUCUUUGCCCAGGUCGGUUCUAUUGAGAUCGAACGAGUCUGUAACUCCGUUGAUGACAGCGUCUUGGAGACAGCAGCGAUCGGUGUUCCACCUCCCAGUGGAGGUCCUGAGCAACUAGUAAUAGCUGUUGUGCUCAAGAACCCUGAGUUACGGAAUCAUGACAUGAACCUCUUGAAAAAGUCCUUCAAUUCUGAGAUACAAAAGAAACUCAAUCCAUUGUUCAAGGUAAUAGUAUUACAAACAACCAAACGCAACGGAGCUCAUAAGUUGUGUUGUUGUUCGAAAUUUUAUACAACAAAUAGGCUAAUGUGAAAAUAUCUUAUGCAGGUAUCAUCUGUUGUGACUCUGCCUUCCUUGCCGAGAACAGCCACAAAUAAGGUUAUGAGAAGAGUUUUAAGGCAACAGCUUACUCAGACCGGUCUAAAGUCGAAGCUAUGAGAGACUAUUGUUUGCCAUUAAACCCACAACGUUUGGUCUUUUGUUGUACAUCCACGUUUAUAUCAAUAAAUGAUUCUCAAUUUACACAUAGCCUGUGGAAUAUGUCUUCUACGAAUGUAUCAAGAGAUCCGUAAAUAGUGCGAUCCUUGAUGUGAAUAUGUACUUGUCCUGUAAUGUAACAUUGUAACGUGAACAGUUGAUCAAUUAUUCGUGUUGGUGGUGUACAAUCAGGAGGUGUAAAACAACUUAUUUCGGAAUUAGGGGUGAUAUUAAAUAAUAUUAUGAAAUACAUGGACAUAAAACGUAAUAAAUAAAAGAAGUGAGGGGUAUUCUGUAAUUUACAUGAACAGAUUUGGGGGAUAAUAGCCAUAGUUCAUCAUCUUCUUCACCAAACCUUAGGGGAUAACUUAGAAACAAGAAAACGGCGUCGGUUUGACCCGACGGAGGAACCAUGUCGUCGUCUCUUCUUCUCUCAGGCUCUACAGUAUCUUCUUCAUUCAUUGCUCCUUCGAAGCUGUAAUCUCUCUCUCUCUCCUUCAUUUCACCUUCUUUCGACUUAUCCGAUUUCAAAUUCUAGGGUUUGUGUUGUUUGUUUAUGAUUACAGUUAUCUCUUACGGAAUCAAAAUCAAUCACUGUCACUAUCUCGGAACGUUUCGAGAAGCUUCAAACCCCUUAGGUGCUCCUCCGCUGAUUCUCCAUACGGAGGUUAAUAUCAUCUCCCCUUCUUCUUGCUAAAAGUCUCCAUCUUUACGCUGUUUAAUGACUUUUUUCUUUUGUGUGUGUAGGCAACGUGCCCACGUUCCCUCGAACCAGGGUCUGGGACCCGUACAAGCGUCUAGGGAUAAGCCCCUACGCCUCCGAGGAAGAGAUCUGGGCCUCGCGCAACUUCCUCUUGGAGCAGUACGCGGGACACGAGAGGAGCCAAGAGUCUAUAGAAGGCGCAUUCGAGAAGCUUCUCAUGUCUAGUUUUGUGAAGAGGAAGAAGACUAAAAUCAACCUCAAGACGAGGUUGAAGAAGAAAGUUGAGGAGUCUCCUCCGUGGCUUAAAGCUCUUCUUGAUUUCGUUGAGAUGCCUCCCAUGGAUACUGUUUUCAGAAGACUCUUUCUUUUCGCUUU
rnacentral:lncRNA from 1 species